AACGAACGCUGGCGGCAUGCCUAACACAUGCAAGUCGAACGAGACCUUCGGGUCUAGUGGCGCACGGGUGCGUAACGCGUGGGAAUCUACCCUCAGGUUCGGAAUAACUCAGAGAAAUUUGAGCUAAUACCGGAUGAUGACGUAAGUCCAAAGAUUUAUCGCCUGAGGAUGAGCCCGCGUAGGAUUAGGUAGUUGGUGAGGUAAAGGCUCACCAAGCCGACGAUCCUUAGCUGGUCUGAGAGGAUGAUCAGCCACACUGGGACUGAGACACGGCCCAGACUCCUACGGGAGGCAGCAGUGGGGAAUAUUGGACAAUGGGCGAAAGCCUGAUCCAGCAAUGCCGUGUGAGUGAUGAAGGCCUUAGGGUUGUAAAGCUCUUUUACCCGGGAUGAUAAUGACAGUACCGGGAGAAUAAGCUCCGGCUAACUCCGUG
rnacentral:rRNA from 1 species